UGUGAGUCUGUCUUGGUGUUUACAGGGACGUCCUCCAUCUUCUCGGUGUCCCCGGUGAAGGCCGAGGGGCCGAGCGGCUACAGCGAGCCGGAGGAGAACAGCGGCCCCGGCAGGGAGGCCCCCAGAGUGCGGCUCUCCCCCACCAUGCGCUACUCCGGCAUGGAGGUGUUCGCCCCCAAAGUGCAGUUUCGGGACCCCCGUUCUCACCGCAGCCACCACGCCCAGGUGGGGUUCCAGGUGUGCGUGCGUCCGGGCUCCUACAAGGCGGGGCCGCAGACUCUGGGCCACAGCGAGCCCCUGGACCCUCGCUUCAGCAACUCCGAGAUCGAAUG